rnacentral:rRNA from 1 species
CGGACGGGUGAGUAAUGCUUGGGAAUCUGGCUUAUGGAGGGGGAUAACUACGGGAAACUGUAGCUAAUACCGCGUAAUAUCUUCGGAUUAAAGGGUGGGACUUUCGGGCCACCUGCCAUAAGAUGAGCCCAAGUGGGAUUAGGUAGUUGGUGGGGUAAAGGCCUACCAAGCCGACGAUCUCUAGCUGGUCUGAGAGGAUGACCAGCCACACUGGAACUGAGACACGGUCCAGACUCCUACGGGAGGCAGCAGUGGGGAAUAUUGCACAAUGGGGGGAACCCUGAUGCAGCCAUGCCGCGUGAAUGAAGAAGGCCUUCGGGUUGUAAAGUUCUUUCGGUGAUGAGGAAGGUGUUUGUUUUAAUAGAACAAGCAAUUGACGUUAGUCACAGAAGAAGCACCGGCUAACUCCGUGCCAGCAGCCGCGGUAAUACGGAGGGUGCGAGCGUUAAUCGGAAUGACUGGGCGUAAAGGGCACGCAGGCGGUGACUUAAGUGAGAUGUGAAAGCCCCGGGCUUAACCUGGGAAUUGCAUUUCAUACUGGGUCGCUAGAGUAUUUUAGGGAGGGGUAGAAUUCCACGUGUAGCGGUGAAAUGCGUAGAGAUGUGGAGGAAUACCGAAGGCGAAGGCAGCCCCUUGGGAAUAUACUGACGCUCAUGUGCGAAAGCGU